rnacentral:rRNA from 1 species
AAUCUUGCGCAAUGGGGGAAACCCUGACGCAGCGACGCCGCGUGAGUGAUGAAGGUCUUCGGAUCGUAAAUCCCUCUCGGCCGGGAAGAAUGGCCUCGCGGCGAAUUCCUACGGGCAUUGCCGGUACCGACAGAAGAAGCACCGGCUAGCUCUGUGCCAGCAGCCGCGGUAAUACAGAGGGUGCAAGCGUUGUUCGGAAUUACUGGGUGUAAAGCGCGCGCAGGCGGGAUGGCAAGUCGGAUGUGAAAGCCCUUGGCUCAACCAAGGAAGUGCAUUCGAAACUGCUGUUCUUGAGUGGCGGGGAGGGUGGCGGAAUUCCCGGUGUAGAGGUGAAAUUCGUAGAUAUCGAGAGGAACACCAGUGGCGAAGGCGGCCACCUGGACGAACACUGACGCUGAGGCGCGAAAGCGUGGGGAGCAAAC